rnacentral:tRNA from 1 species
GUGGGUAUAGCUCAGUGGUAGAGCACAUGCUUAGCAUGCACGAGGUCCUGGGUUCAACCCCCAGUACCUCCG